UAACACAAACCGGUAUUUGAAAGAAUGGAUGACCAUUUUAUGGAGUCUGUAAAAAAAUACCUAUUUCCUUUAAUCUUUGUAUGUCAAAGGUUUUAGCAGUUAAAAUAAAACGCGAUCUAAAUAAAACGUGCGCAUUAGCAUUUAUUUUUGCAGAUAACGCUAAGAUCGCUAGAGGGCGUGACGAUACAACGAGAUCGUUAUCCUAUAAUGACAGGCCUACCUGGCUUUUAACAAGACUUUUAAAGAGUGUAUUCUUUGUUCAUCAGAUACAUACCUGGAAAUGUAAUUAUAAUUAUCUACUAACACAAACAAACGAGACAGCAAAUGAUAAGUGAGCCAACAGCAUUUUCGACACGGUGUCCCCUGCGGGUGUAAGGACUCAUCUGAUGAAGUACAACCUUUCUUUGGAUGUCUUCCGAUAAAGGGUCCUGGAAGCUGUUGGAGAGCUCUGGCCCUUCAGUGAGGAGCCGCUCCAUUAGUUUCGGAUGCAGGCGAGUGGAGCAUCAUCUGCCUGGCAUACUGUUUGUCUGUCUGUCAGUCAGCCUGCCAGGCAGCCAUUGUGAUUGUUUGCCUGUCCGUCUGUUUGCCCGCCCCUGUCAAUGCCUUUCAGAGAUUCCGGUCUGUGUAAAGUAGAUUUUUCUUCCAGUCCAUAACUUUUCUUAUCUCAUUAUCUCUCUUUGUGUAUCUCUCUCUGUAUCUCUCUCCCCCUCUCUUUAUCGCUCUCUCACUCUCUCUACUUCUAUCUAUCUAUCUAUCUAUCUAUCUAUCUAUCUAUCUAUCUAUCUAUCUAUCUAUCUAUCUAUCUAUCUAUCUAUCUAUCUCUCUCUCUCUCUCUCUCUCUCUCUCUCUCUCUCUCUCUCUCUCUCUCUCUCUCUCUCUCUCUCUCUCUCUCUCUCUCUCUCUCUCUCUCUCUCUCUCCAUCUCUACCUUCUCUCUCCCAUUCUGUCUCCUACCCCUGAUGCUCAUGAAUAAAUCAUUGCACCAUCUUGAUGGAAAAUAAGUUGCUGGAAGAAAAAAAAAAGACUACAUGUUUUAUACUUAGCUAAUUAGAUAGAUUCAUAUUCAUAAUGAGCACUCCUGAAAUGCAGGUGACAGAAGGAGCUGAAGAAUAAUCAAGCUGUGUGUGUGUGUGUGUGUCUGUGUGCGUGUGUCUGUGUGUGUGUGUGUGUGUCUGUGUGUGUGUGUGCGCGCAUGUGGUCACUAGUGUGUACAGCUGAGGUAUAUGUUUACAUUUCUUCAUGGCGUCCUGGUCACCCAAGGCACUUCAAUGUAAUGGAAUUAUGGGUAUAGAAAUGUGACAGAAUCAACCAUUUCCAUUGUUCUAUUGUAAUGGGCAAAGAGAGAACAACAGCAUUCCUUAGCCAUAUGUUUAAUCAUCUCCAUAACCUUUCUUUGUGUGUGCCAGUACAUUGAAGAGCCCAAACACACAAACGUGUGUGUUGUGUGUGUAUGUGGGUGUGAGUGCCGUGAAUUUCCCUGAAUUAUAAGAAUACUAAAAUAAAAAAUAUUUGUGAGCUAGAGGUUAGGGAGUCCAUUCUAGCAGGCUUCACCCACGCUACUGUUUCUCUCUCUCUCUCUCUCUCUCUCUCUCUCUCUCUCUCUCUCUCCCUCUCUCCAUCUCCAUCGAGCCUCCAGCCAUCGCUCUCUCUCUUUGACACCACUCUCCCACCCCUCUGUCAAUGUCUCUUUAUACCUAUCUCUAUUUUACUUCUCUGUAUUCUUUCUCACUCCUCUCUCUCUUUCUCUCUCUCU